GCCCUGAAGGAACGUUGAAGACGACGACGUUGAUAGGCCGGGUGUGUAAGCGCAGCGAUGCGUUGAGCUAACCGGUACUAAUGAACCGUGAGGCUUAACCUU
rnacentral:rRNA from 1 species